rnacentral:rRNA from 1 species
UACAGGGGGGGCAAGCGUUGUUCGGAAUUACUGGGCGUAAAGGGCGCGUAGGCGGCCCGCUAAGUCGAACGUGAAAUCCCCGAGCUCAACUCAGGAACUGCGUCCGAUACUGGCGGGCUUGAAUCCGGGAGAGGGAUGCGGAAUUCCAGGUGUAGCGGUGAAAUGCGUAGAUAUCUGGAGGAACACCGGUGGCGAAGGCGGGUCUCUGGGCAACAACUGACGCUGAGGAGCGAAAGCGUGGGGAGCGAACAGG